rnacentral:lncRNA from 1 species
CAUUUACCAAGACCACCCUGGACUGCCUCGCCUCCAUCCUGGGCCUAUACAAACCCUCAAGACACUAGCGGGCCAGAGGAGGAGAAGAGCACAUCGGCCGCGGAAGGAGACACCAAGCGGCUGAGAGAGAAACAGUGAAACGCAGUUGCUGGGCCCUCUGUGUCUUUCUGCAGAGAGCAAGGAAGGCCCAGGAAAUGAGUGGCCUGGACCGUCGGUGGGUGAGGCCUGGACCCCGAGACCCCUCUCCUGGAGGGAAGUCAGGAUGGAGAGAGACCCAGAUCUAAGGCCACGAGGACUUGGCCUCCCAGAGGGCUGGGGGGCAACCAGUGAGAUGGGGUGGGGGCUGUGAGGCCCCAGAGGCGUUGAGAAAUGUGAAAUUCCUGGCAAGAAAAGGAAGUUGUUUGAAGGAAUUGGUGGGCUGGGAGCCAGAGCCCUGGGGGCUCCUCCAGGGACACCGGCAGACGGGAGUUACUUUGUCACCUUGUUCCUCGGAUUGACUGUGUUUCUCUGAGGACGCCUCGGGCGGAGACUGGGCCACAGGCAAUGCAUAUUUGGGAUAGCGCCUGUGCUGAAUCCUUUGCCCAGACAUCACACUUCCCUUCUGCAAGGCUGAAUCCUAGCUGAGAGACAUCCUCCCAAACACCAAUCAGCGCUCAGCGCUCCCCACCAGGCGGCACAGACCCCGCGGUUCUCACAGACCCCGCGGUUCGCACAGACCCCGCGGUUCGCACAGACCCGGCGGUUCUGCAGCUCCGUUCUCCGGGGUCCUCCAGUGCUUGAAUUUUGAGAAACGCUGCGGUCAGCAAUGGAGAUUUGUCUUUGAAAUAUUAUCCCACAAGAUGGCCCAUGUGGCCCCAUCUGGUUCCCCUCCCUUUCCCCUCACACCACCAUGGAUGGACGGCCGGGGCUCUGGUCGCUCCCUCUUGAGUCUGUGCUCCCCACUUGGGUUCCCGGGGAGAUUUUCCUGAAUCCAGCACUGCUGUUCCCCUCACUCAGGGGCCAGCCUCGAAGGUCAUCUCCAGUCCCCAAACCUGCAUUCAGAGCUCUGCAGGGCUUUGAGACACUAACUGUGUGACCUGCUGCGGCCAUUCUGAGAGAGGCCUCCGCGACCUGCUGGCAAGUCCCCUCUUCUGAGAACAACCCCCGUGUUUGCCCUGACAGGACGCUCACCACGCACCGAAUGGAAUUGUUCCCUGGGCUGGUCUGGCCCCACCACCAGGCAUGUGUCUGCCAGGUCUCUGCAGCCACCAUUCCUGGAGCAUGAGCAGCCACCAUGCUAGAGAAACAACAGGGGCUCAGGGUUUGAUGAGGAGACCAGGGAACAAGUGGAAUAAUGGGUCUGUAACCCAGAUAAACCCCAAGGCCCACAUGUCCAGGCACAGCGCUGAGUCACAUGCAAAGAAACAGCAGUCCAGCAACCAGAGAGUUGAGAAGGAGUCCCAAUCCUUGUUGCCAGCUUUGGAGAAAAACGUUUUAGGAGAUGCCUUUCAUAGUUCCAGCAAGGUCUCUGUGAAGCCCUCACUGUCUUCUCUCCCCAGUUCUCCCCUCUCUGAUGCCCCUGUCGUCUUUCUCUCAUCCCAACACUUACAAAAACUUGUCCUGGCCCCGUCGCAGGGCUCUUUCUCUCUCUGACAGCGCCCUCUCCCCCGGCUCUUU